rnacentral:rRNA from 1 species
GACGAACGCUGGCGGCGUGCUUAACACAUGCAAGUCGAACGGAAAGGCCCUGCUUUUGUGGGGUGCUCGAGUGGCGAACGGGUGAGUAACACGUGAGUAACCUGCCCUUGACUUUGGGAUAACUUCAGGAAACUGGGGCUAAUACCGGAUAGGAGCUCCUGCUGCAUGGUGGUGGUUGGAAAUUUUCGGCGGUUGGGGAUGGACUCGCGGCUUAUCAGCUUGUUGGUGGGGUAGUGGCUUACCAAGGAUUUGACGGGUAGCCGGCCUGAGAGGGUGACCGGCCACAUUGGGACUGAGAUACGGCCCAGAAUGCUACGGGAGGCAGCAGUGGGGAAUAGUGCACAAUGGGCGGAAGCCUGAUGCAGCAACGCCGCGUGCGGGAUGACGGCCUUCGGGUUGUAAACCGCUUUCGCCUGUGACGAAGCGUGAGUGACGGUAAUGGGUAAAGAAGCACCGGCUAACUACGUG